GUCCACGCUGUAAACGAUGUGUGCUAGACGUUGGGGGUUAAGCCUCCGGUGUCGCAGCUAACGCGUUAAGCACACCGCCUGGGGAGUACGGCCGCAAGGUUAAAACUCAAAGGAAUUGACGGGGGCCCGCACAAGCGGUGGAGCAUGUGGUUCAAUUCGACGCAACGCGAAGAACCUUACCAGCUCUUGACAUGGGUAGUAUGGGCCUGGGCGACCGGGUCCUUCAGUUCGGCUGGCUACCACACAGGUGCUGCAUGGCUGUCGU
rnacentral:rRNA from 1 species